rnacentral:rRNA from 1 species
CCAGACUCCUACGGGAGGCAGCAGUGGGGGAUAUUGCACAAUGGGGGGAACCCUGAUGCAGCGACGCCGCGUGGGUGAAGGAGCGUUUCGGCGCGUAAAGCCCUAUCGGCAGGGAAGAAGGAGGACGGUACCUGACUAAGAAGCCCCGGCUAACUACGUGCCAGCAGCCGCGGUAAUACGUAGGGGGCAAGCGUUAUCCGGAUUUACUGGGUGUAAAGGGGGCGCAGACGGCAGCGCAAGCCAGGAGUGAAAGCCCGGGGCCCAACCCCGGGACUGCAUUUGAAACUGUCGUUCUUGAGUACUGGAGAGGUUGACGGAAUUCCUAGUGUAGCGGUGAAAUGCGUAGAUAUUAGGAGGAACACCAGUGGCGAAGGCGGUCAACUGGACAGCAACUGACGCUGAGGCGCGAAAGCGUGGGGAGCAAACAGGAUUAGAUACCCCAGUA